rnacentral:tRNA from 1 species
GCCAUGAUUGUAUAGUGGUUAGUAUUCUGCGUUGUGGCCGCACCAACCCUGUUUCGAAUCUGGGUCAUGGCA